GCACUAAAUCUGUCAUGUGAUCUCAUUUUCAGUUUGAUGAGAUUUUUCUGACAACUCGUGACCAGUAUUUGAAACUCAUGAGUGAUGGAGCUCUGAUGUUUCAGCAGGUUCCCAUGGUGGAAAUUGAUGGCAUGAAACUAAUUCAGACAAAAGCAAUCUUGAAUUACAUCGCAGAGAAGUACAGUCUUCAUGGAAAAGAUCUGAAAGACCGAGUCAUGAUCAACAUGUACUCAGAGGGACUGAUGGAUCUCAUGGAAAUGAU